GAAAAAAGUGUGUGGGCUUUACCACACUGCUAAUUUUAGUGAGUCUGUCGCAGUCUAUUACAAGUCUGAGUCUCAGUCUGAUCUCUUGGUAUCAUUAUCGUGUUCCCACCUGCAGCCCAUCCAUCCGUAGCGGCUGCAGGAACGCUACGCAGGUAGAUAAUUUCCAUUUCCGUUGUACCUACGUACAUGACACACAUAUUAUGACUGAUGUAAAAUCAUUAAGGAUCAUAACGAACGGGAUGUAAUACAUAGGUGAUGGCAUCCGUGUUACCUAUAGAAAUGUUAAGACUUUCGUCCCCAGUGAGGACAAGUCCUCGAACUCGAAGGCUCGAAGCGCAGCGUUCAUAUAAUCAUAACGAAAGCAAGCAGCCAUAGCAAGCUGACGUGAACCCCUCCUCGUGCUAGCGUUUGAAGACAUUUUCCCUUCUCGCUGUAAGUUGGAGUUACCAGUGCUCUUAGGAAAUCCUUGAACACCAAGAAGGAUCCUAAUCAAUGGAUAAAUAGUGGAAAACUACAAAGUGGACUUAGGGAGUGCAUGCCAAUGGUCGGUCAGUGUGCUAUGUAGUGGGUGAAGGGAAACACGUUGCAAUGUUUUAUUGUGUUGAAAUGGCGGUGGCAACUGUUUUAUGGUGGCUGAUCCCAGUGUAAGUGCGUAGGUGUGUGGUAAAUAUUAAAGAAAUUUGCAAUUAUUUUGAUAUAUACUGCCCUGGGGAGGAAAAUGGAGGCAUGGAUCACUCACUGCCGUCGCCGCCCAAGUGGAAGAUCCUACAUGCCUAGCUGAAUUUUUGGCUAACCUAUGGAAGGAUUGCACUACUCUUCUCCACUCACUGGCAUCAGUCCUCCACAGACCAACACUAGCAGACCAGGUUGGUUCUCAAGACUUAGUUUAAGAAUCAAGCACACAAGAGCAGGAAAACUUGGCAGAAUGUGACAAGCUAAUCUUUUUAACUCCUGCAGCUUUGACACCCAACAAGAACAAGAAGGUUUCCUCGUUUGUUCUUUGGUACUGCAUAUCUUUCUGCCUCCAAAUUGAGAGUGAAGCAUACCAACACAAAACUCAAAUCUUGUCGAGCAAGGAUCAAGAGGCUUGUGAAGAAAAUUGGUGAACUGAAAUCAACUGCAAAUGCAUCAUGUAGUUUUUCCAUGUCAAAAUAAGGCUAGAUGUUGUUCUCCACAAGACUGGAUCAGGAGAGGACCUGCUGAUAUGUAUGAUUGUGCAGCACUGGUGAAGUCUUGGUGUGAACCCUACUCUGCCAAGAAUUGCUACCAGUUCGCUAUAGAUUGUCACAGCACCUAUUCUAGACUGUCGGAGCAUCUCUGUGAUAUGGCAGGAUGGGAUGGGGGGAGGGACUGGCAUGAGUUCGUGACAGUUCAGCUUUUCUGCGGACUAGGGUUCUUAUGAAGAAGAUUCAGGAUUCUACUUUACUGCCUUAUUAACAUGUUUUUUUUUGGCCCCUGCUAACUCUUUCUGACUGUAGAGCAAUAGAUGGUGGAAAGGAGCUGAAAGAAGCUGAUCUGGCAGCUAUAGUAAUAUAUACAUACUACUGCUGUGUUGCUGUGUUGUUGGUUAAAUGAAGAAAGCAGUGUUGCAAGGCAGUCAGGGACAAAACAUUUUUGGGACUCUGCACAUUGUUCUUGUACUCACUUUUCCUAGCAAUGUUUGGUUGUUUUUCCCUCAUUUGCAUUUUAUGUUAUAGGAGGAUCCUUUUCCAUCUGCUGUUGUAUGAGCCUCACAGUGCGGGAAGAAAUCAAAGAAGACCUUUAAGGAUUUUUAUCUUAAGGUGUCAAAACUCAAAAAUGCUUUGGCCUGCAUCACUGACCUACCUUGAAAUGCCGUUUUCCUCACUUGACUUUUCCACAUUGGUAGAGUAUUGCUGUCUGCAAGGUCAGCUUCUUUCAAUCUCUUUACACUCCACCCACACCCAUUGUUUGACAGGGUCAAAGAGCAAAACAUAGGGCAAAAGUGCAUGCAAUAUAUACAUACCUCUAGAUCUGUUUUCCUAGAUGCAUGUGAAGCAUGAUGACAGUGGAAUUGCAACAAUCAUUGUAACAACACUCAUAAACCCAAAAUAAUGAAGGAUAUAAUUCCAAAAUACUAAUAAUAUAUAGCAUUUUUGAAGGAUAAUGAAGGAUAAAUUCAUUCAUAAUCAACAUUCUUAUUAGAUGGGGAAAGUGGACCUCCAUGCCACAGAAUGGAGGGCGGCACACUGAUGUCUUGAGUUGACCUUGAGUUUUCCACAGGUGGACUCUUUCCUCCUCUUGACAGUUGGAUUUUUAUUGCAAAUCUGUCGUCUUCCUCUUGAUAAUGAAGCAGGCAGACUUUUUCCUCCUUAGAGAGAGAGAGAGUGCGUGUGUCACAGCGGCAGAACAGGGAAGGAAGGGUGUUGAGAGAAGCUUUAGUGGCAGUGCCCUUGUGUGAAUGUUUUUUUAUCUUGUGUGUUGUGUGUGAAGAAAAUACUGUGAUUAAAAAAAACCCUUCACAUUGCUCCCCUUUGUGGACCA